rnacentral:rRNA from 1 species
UAGCAUAAUCAAUUGUCUUCUAAUUAAAGAAUAGAAUGAAAGAGAAAACGAAUUUUAAUUUUUAUACAAAAUUUAUAAUAAAAUUAUAAUAUUAGUUAAAAUACUAAUAAAAAAGAAAGACGAAAAGACCCUAACGAACUUUACUUCUGUUUAGCUGGGGAAGCUCUAAAAAAAAACCUUUUUAUUAAAAUAAAAAUUCCUAAAAAGAAUUAAACUAGUUACCGUAGGGAUAACAGCAUAAUAAGUUUUUAUAGCUCGUAUAUAAAAAAUUGUUUAUGACCUCGAUGUUGAAUAAUUUUCUUAUACAAAGCAAAAUUUUAUAAAG